UAUAGUCUCUAAUCUGGUCACAGGUUUCCUAUAGUCUCUAAUCUGGUCACAUGUUUCCUAUAGUCUCUAAUCUGGUCACAUGUUUCCUAUAGUCUCUAAUCUGGUCACAUGUUUCCUAUAGUCUCUAAUCUGGUCACAUGUUUCCUAUAGUCUCUAAUCUGGUCACAUGUUUCCUAUAGUCUCUAAUCUGGUCACAUGUUUCCUAUAGUCUCUAAUCUGGUCACAUGUUUCCUAUAGUCUCUAAUCUGGUCACAUGUUUCCUAUAGUCUCUAAUCUGGUCACAUGUUUCCUAUAGUCUCUAAUCUGGUCACAUGUUUCCUAUAGUCUCUAAUCUGGUCACAUGUUUCCUAUAGUCUCUAAUCUGGUCACAUGUUUCCUAUAGUCUCUAAUCUGGUCACAUGUUUCCUAUAGUCUCUAAUCUGGUCACAUGUUUCCUAUGGUCUCUAAUCUGGCCACAUGUUUCCUAUGGUCUCUAAUCUGGUCACAUGUUUCCUAUGGUCUCUAAUCUGGUCUCUAAUCUGGCCACAGGUU